rnacentral:rRNA from 1 species
UGAAUGGGAUCCCGGGGAAUAACUGUCUUAAUUAAGUUAUAUAGAAAUUACUUAGUGAGUGAAAAAUCUCAUAUAUAGAAGAAAGACGAGAAGACCCUAGAAAUUUUUUACAAGUAUAUUUUACAUAUUCUAUUUUGUUGGGGCGACAUAGUAACAGUUAACUUACUAUUUAACAUGUUAUUUAUAAAUAGGAAGAAUAAAUUACUCUAGGGAUAACAGCAUUAUUCAAUUUGAGUUUGUGACCUCGAUGUUGGACUAGGAAAUAAUUUAUUUAAAAGAUUAAUUAAAAGGCUCUGUUCGAGCUAAAUUCUCCUACAUGAUCUGAGUUCAAACCGGAGCUCCA